AUUGAACGCUGGCGGCAGGCCUAACACAUGCAAGUCGAACGAGUGGCGGACGGGUGAGUAAUGUCUGGGAAACUGCCAGAUGGAGGGGGAUAACUACUGGAAACGGUAGCUAAUACCUCAUACCAUCAGCUGUGCCCAGAUGGGAUUAGCUUGUUGGUGGGGUAACGGCUGACCCAGGCGACCAUCCCUAGCUGGUCUGAGAGGAUGACGAGCCACACUGGGACGGAGACACGGUCCAGAGUCCUACGUGAGGCAGCAGUGGGGAAUAUUGAACAAUGGGCGAAAGCCUGAUGCAGCCAUGCCGCGGGUAUGAAGAAGGCCUUCGGGUUGUAAAGUACUUUCAGCGGGGAGGCGUUACCGGCAGAAGAAGCACCGGCUAACUCCGUGCCAGCAGCCGAGGUAAUUC
rnacentral:rRNA from 1 species